UACGUAGGGGGCAAGCGUUGUCCGGAUUUAUUGGGCGUAAAGAGCGUGUAGGCGGCUGGGUAGGUCCGCUGUGAAAACUCGAGGCUUAACCUCGAGACGUCGGUGGAAACCAUCCAGCUAGAGUCCGGAAGAGGAGAGUGGAAUUCCUGGUGUAGCGGUGAAAUGCGCAGAUAUCAGGAAGAACACCCGUGGCGAAAGCGGCUCUCUGGGACGGUACUGACGCUGAGGCACGAAGGCCAGGGGAGCAAACGGG
rnacentral:rRNA from 1 species